rnacentral:rRNA from 1 species
AAAGGAAUAGACGGGGACCCACACAAGCAGUGGAUCACGUGGUUUAAUUCGACAAUAAACGGGGAACCUUACCCAGACUUGACAUCUACCGAAUGAUUUGGAAACAGAUCGGUGCCCGUAAGGGAGCGGUAAGACAGGUGCUGCAUGGUUGUCGUCAGCUCGUGCCUUGAGGUGUUCGGUUAAGUCCGUUAACGAGCGCAACCCAUGUCCUUAGUUAUUAUGUCUAAGGAGACUGCCUUGGUUAACAAGGAGGAAGGUGUGGAUGACGUCAAAUCAGCAUGGCUUUUACGUCUGGGGCUACACACAUGAUACAAUGGUAUAUACAAAGAGCAGCGAUACAGUAAUGUGGAGCCAAUCUCAAAAAUAUAUCUCAGUCCGGAUUGAGGUCUGCAACUCGACCUCAUGAAGUUGGAA